AUUGAACGCUGGCGGCAUGCUUUACACAUGCAAGUCGAACGGCAGCGCGGGCUUCGGCCUGGCGGCGAGUGGCGAACGGGUGAGUAAUACAUCGGAACGUGCCCAGUAGUGGGGGAUAGCUCGGCGAAAGCCGUAUUAAUACCGCAUACGACCUGAGGGUGAAAGCGGGGGAUCUUCGGACCUCGCGCUCUUGGAGCGGCCGAUGGCGGAUUAGCUAGCUGGUGGGGUAAAGGCCUACCAAGGCGACGAUCUGUAGCUGGUCUGAGAGGACGACCGGCCACACUGGGACUGAGACACGGCCCAGAGUCCUACGGGAGGCAGCAGUGGGGAAUUUUGGACAAUGGGCGGAAGCCUGAUCCAGCAAUGCCGCGUGUGUGAUGAAGGCCUUCGGGUUGUAAAGCACUUUUGGCGGGAACGAAAAGGACUGUGCCAAUACCACGGUUCGAUGACGGUACCCGCAGAAUAAGCACCGGCUAACUACGUG
rnacentral:rRNA from 1 species